UCAUUCACAAGAAACAUUCACAAGAAGACACAAAUUGCACAGCAAGAUAAAGUGAAGUAGAUAUUCAUUAAUUAUUUGUAUUGUUUACAAAAAAAUGCUAUCCAAACAAUACAACAUGUAUUACAAAAGAUGCCAACCAAAAUAUGAAGCUAGGUUUAACGAUAAUCCAAGGUAACUACUCUGAUCUUCAUCUAGCACUUCCUUAAUAAUGAGGUCAGGAGGAUAAGA
rnacentral:lncRNA from 1 species